rnacentral:rRNA from 1 species
GACAAACGCUGGCGGCGUGCUUAAUACAUGCAAGUCGAACGGGUACACUUCGGUGUACUAGUGGCGGACGGGUGAGUAACACGUAGAUGACCUACCCCGAUGUGGGGAAGUAACAGGCCGAAAGGUUUGCUAAUACCGCAUAAUCUCUUUAGUGUGGGCUAAAGAGGAAACCUUCGCAAGAGGGGCGAAUGGGAGGGGUCUGCGGCGGAUUAGCUAGAUGGUGGGGUAAAGGCCUACCAUGGCGACGANCCGUAGCUGGUCUGAGAGGACGAUCAGCCACACUGGGACUGAGACACGGCCCAGACU